rnacentral:misc_RNA from 1 species
UCACUGCUUGCGCAGGCAGUCUGUCUAGAGUCCCCGCCAUUACGCGCUGGCAACUAAACAUAGGGGUUGCGCUCGUUGCGGGACUUAACCCAACACCUCACGGCACGAGCUGACGACGGCCAUGCAGCACCUUGCUUUGUGUCCCGAAGGAAAGGUCCAUCUCUGGACCGGUCACGCGCAUUCUAGCCUAGGUAAGGUUCCUCGCGUAUCAUCGAAUUAAACCACAUGCUCCACCACUUGUGCGGGCCCCCGUCAAUUCCUUUGAGUUUCACCCUUGCGGGCGUACUCCCCAGGUGGGAUACUUAACGCUUUCGCUAAGCCAGUGACCAUCUAUCGCCACCAGCGAGUAUCCAUCGUUUACGGCGUGGACUAC